UCAGCCCUACGGGGGGCAGCAGUAGGGAAUCUUCCACAAUGGGCGAAAGCCUGAUGGAGCAACGCCGCGUGGGUGAAGAAGGUCUUCGGAUCGUAAAACCCUGUUGUUAGAGAAGAAAGUGCGUGAGAGUAACUGUUCACGUUUCGACGGUAUCUAACCAGAAAGCCACGGCUAACUACGUGCCAGCAGCCGCGGUAAUACGUAGGUGGCAAGCGUUAUCCGGAUUUAUUGGGCGUAAAGGGAACGCAGGCGGUCUUUUAAGUCUGAUGUGAAAGGCCGGGGCUCAACCCCG
rnacentral:rRNA from 1 species